UACGGAGGGGGCUAGCGUUGUUCGGAAUUACUGGGCGUAAAGCGUGCGUAGGCGGCUUUGUAAGUUAGAGGUGAAAGCCCAGGGCUCAACCCUGGAAUUGCCUUUAAGACUGCAUCGCUUGAACGUCGGAGAGGUGAGUGGAAUUCCGAGUGUAGAGGUGAAAUUCGUAGAUAUUCGGAAGAACACCAGUGGCGAAGGCGACUCACUGGACGACUGUUGACGCUGAGGCACGAAAGCGUGGGGAGCAAACAGG
rnacentral:rRNA from 1 species